UACGUAGGGUGCGAGCGUUAAUCGGAAUUACUGGGCGUAAAGCGUGCGCAGGCGGUUCGUUAAGUUCGAUGUGAAAGCCCCGGGCUCAACCUGGGAAUUGCAUUGAAAACUGGCGGGCUUGAGUGUGGCAGAGGGGGGUGGAAUUCCACGUGUAGCAGUGAAAUGCGUAGAGAUGUGGAGGAACACCGAUGGCGAAGGCAGCCCCCUGGGCUAACACUGACGCUCAGGCACGAAAGCGUGGGGAGCAAACAGG
rnacentral:rRNA from 1 species